rnacentral:ribozyme from 11 species
AGAAAAAAAAAAAAAAAAAAAGGAAAAAAAAAAAAAAAAAGAGAAACGUACGUUCUUUUCUUUUUCUCUCGGAACAGGGAGGAGAAGUUUGUUUUUUUUGUCUAUGUGCUCGCUCUUCUCUUUUUUUUUCUCCC